AUUGAACGCUGGCGGCAGGCCUAACACAUGCAAGUCGAGCGGAGCGGCGGACGGGUGAGUAAUGUAUGGGGAUCUGCCCUGCACUUCGGGAUAAGCCUGGGAAACUGGGUCUAAUACCGGGAAGUGUGGGAUGGGCCCGCGGCCAAUCAGCUGGUGGGUGGGGUAAUGGCCUACCAAGGCGGCGACGGGUAGCCGGCCUGAGAGGGUGGACGGCCACAUGGCGACUGCGAGAGGGCGCAGAGUGCUAUGUGCGGCAGCAGUGGGGAAUAGUGCGCAAUUGGGGGAAGCCUGAUGCAGCGGCCCCGGGGGGGGGAUGACGGCCUUCCGGUUGUAAACUCCUUUCACCAUCGACGCGGUAGAUGGAGAAGAAGCACCGGCUAACUACGUGCCAGCCGCCGCGGUAAUAC
rnacentral:rRNA from 1 species